rnacentral:rRNA from 1 species
AACGUAGGUGGCAAGCGUUGUCCGGAUUUACUGGGCGUAAAGGAUGCGUAGGCGGACAUUUAAGUCAGAUGUGAAAUACCCGAGCUUAACUUGGGUGCUGCAUUUGAAACUGGGUGUCUAGAGUGCAGGAGAGGUAAGUGGAAUUCCUAGUGUAGCGGUGAAAUGCGUAGAGAUUAGGAAGAACACCCGUGGCGAAAGCGGCUCUCUGGAACGGUACUGACGCUGAGACGCGAAAGCGUGGGGAGCGAACAGG